GUGUUCACUUUGGCAACCUAUAUACUAAAACUUGAACUAUACAGAUAAGAUUAGCAUGGCCCCUGUGCAAAGAUAACACGCAAAUUCGUGAAGCAUUCCAUAUUUUU